rnacentral:rRNA from 1 species
AUUGAACGCUGGCGGCAGGCCUAACACAUGCAAGUCGAGCGGAUGAAGGGAGCUUGCUCCUGGAUUCAGCGGCGGACGGGUGAGUAAUGCCUAGGAAUCUGCCUGGUAGUGGGGGAUAACGUCCGGAAACGGGCGCUAAUACCGCAUACGUCCUGAGGGAGAAAGUGGGGGAUCUUCGGACCUCACGCUAUCAGAUGAGCCUAGGUCGGAUUAGCUAGUUGGUGGGGUAAAGGCCUACCAAGGCGACGAUCCGUAACUGGUCUGAGAGGAUGAUCAGUCACACUGGAACUGAGACACGGUCCAGACUCCUACGGGAGGCAGCAGUGGGGAAUAUUGGACAAUGGGCGAAAGCCAGAUGCAGCCAUGCCGCGUGUGUGAAGAAGGUCUUCGGAUUGUAAAGCACUUUAAGUUGGGAGGAAGGGCAGUAAGUUAAUACCUUGCUGUUUUGACGUUACCAACAGAAUAAGCACCGGCUAACUUCGUG